GCUUUCGUGGUGUAGUGGUCAGCACACUCGGCACGUAUUCGAGAGAUCCAUGGUUCGAGUCCCGGGGAAGGCU
rnacentral:tRNA from 1 species